AAAAUUCUAGUUGCUCAAAAUCUUCCAUUUUGCAAUCCCCUCUCCACAUUCUUGUAACCAUUUUUUCUUCAUUUUCCCUAUAAGGGAAAGAUAGAGAGAAAAAAAUAAGGUAGUAGUCAUAGAUGGAGGGUCUUCUACCUUUGGUUUACAAAGCAAUAAAGAAAAACAUGACUAGAGGACAUUAUGAGUGUCUCUCAUCAGAAGAACAUGCUUUAAGCUACAACAUCAGCAUGUCAGAAAUGUACCCUCAAACCCACAAACUUGGUUAUAGGAGACACCAAGCUCUUCCAGAUUUUGGUCAUGGAUUCCAAUCUCCUCAUAUGAGAAC
rnacentral:lncRNA from 1 species